GAGUUUGAUCCUGGCUCAGAUUGAACGCUGGCGGCAUGCUUUACACAUGCAAGUCGAACGGCAGCGCGGGGCAACCUGGCGGCGAGUGGCGAACGGGUGAGUAAUAUAUCGGAACGUACCCAAGAGUGGGGGAGUAACGUAGCGAAAGUUACGCUAAUACCGCAUACGAUCUAAGGAUGAAAGUGGGGGAUCGCAAGACCUCCAUGCUCCUGGAGCGGCCGAUAUCUGAUUAGCUAGUUGGUG
rnacentral:rRNA from 1 species